CCGCGGCCCGGAGCCCGGCGCCCAAGGCCCCAGCGACCCCGCCUCCCGCCCAGUCCCUGAAGCCGCGCCCCCCGCGCCCGCCCAACGCCGGGGACCCCGCCCUCCGCGCCACCGCCCCCGAGGGUCCCGCCCCCUGUGCCCCUCUGCUUCCGGGAACCUUGCGCUCCUCGCCCCUCUACCCCCGGGAGCCCCGCCCUCAGCGCAGCUCCCAGAGCCACCGUCUCGCGCCUCCUUGCGUCCUCCGGAUCCGCUCUCUCAGGGCUUACAGCGGGGCCCCCGCUUUUCGGGGCUCCCCUCGGCCAGCGCCGGAGGUGGCUGGCGCAUCCCCAGGUCCGCGCCUGGCAGCCUGACGGGACUGUUGGGGGUGACCGCCAUAGCGCCACGUGGUCACUUGUUUGACAAAGGAAACUUUUUUCUCCUUACGAAGUGCGGCAUUUCUGGUCCGAGCCACCGGCCGCCUUAUGCCUAUUGUAUUCCCUUUCCCUGCCGAGCCAUCUUUUUCGCUUUCUUUGAGCUGUCCCAAACCUGGGCCAGGGUCCUGGCGCGGUGAGCUGAUGGAAGGGGGUCGGGGGUUCAGGGCAGCGAGGGCGCCGAAGGUACGAGCUGGGGAGACUGGACUGGUGUCGGGAGUGGCGAAAGAAAAUCAGUUUCCCUGCCUCCUAAAGAGAGGAGUAAAAUGAAGUGCCGGGUAGCUCACAGUGCCUUUCCCUAAAAGGGAGUGUGGAACUGCCGGCAGGCAUCUGGGGCCGGCGGGCUGGUGCACCUGCACUUCGCUGUGCUUUUGCAGGUGAAGACGUAUUCCCCGAGCCGGCCGCGGGGCCUUUGCUUUCUCUUGGAAUCUCACGAAAAUCACGAGAACUCUAGGCGGCUUGAGGUUUGCAAACCAACUGAAGAGCGGCAGAAAGUUUUCAUAGGCAGGUCAGCCGGGCCAUUUUGAAGUGUGCCCCAGAGCACAACGAUUAAAAUUAUACAGAGCCCUCAUCUGCUUUACUUUCUGGCUGAUUUGACUGUAACAGGUCUCAGAUGAAGAUACUGAGCCAUGAAAGGAAAAAAAUUCACCUGAGAUCAUCCCCCGUCGCCCCUCAUGUGAUGGAACGGAGAGUCACAAAACAGAGGAGGACAGGCGAAUGGUCCCAGAGACCUGAAGACAGACUUCAUGGCCUUGGAGGAGACCACAGGACGGUCUCCAAACUCCCACCCAAAGAAUAAGGCAGCUUCGCAGGGUCACACAGCACCAGGGGCCUCUUCAACAUCCCCUGCAGGUCCACUAGUCUCCACCCUGGCCCGCUCGCACCGGGCGUCCACUGCAUCACUCACCCCCCCCGGCCGCGCCAGCCUGCCACCUCCAUCACGGUGCUGUCGGCCCCUCUCAUUCUUGUAGCCUGAGCUCCAUAUGUGAAGUGUUUGCCUCCUGACAUUCAAAGCUAAGCUUCUGAAACUCACAAAAAAACCAAAAAUCCCUCUUUCUCCUACAUACACAUGGAGCCUGGUACAUAGAGGUCAGAAACAUCUUGGAUGUCAACUUUCCUGCUUUUUCUGGGUUGAGGAAGACGAUUGGCCCUUCAUUCUGCUGGGCGCUUUUGCAUCUUCUCUCCCAUGGGGGCCAAUGUUCCCCAGCCGGAAGACUGUGUCUCCCCCGGUGGAGGAGAUCACGGGCUGCGAAGAGAAAGCAUGUCUCAUAGGGGCAGAAGGUGUGAGAUGUGGAGCAGGGCAGCCCGCAUCCUGGUGCUGUCACCACUGUCGGUGCAGUGUGACGGGGACAGAUUUCCACAUACAUGAAGUACUGCGAAGAGCGCCUGGCACAGAUUAAGCUCUCAAAGCUAUCAGGAUCUCAGAAUUAAAUUCCUUCACCAGAGCAGAGUGGGAUAUGGCUGGACGGCACGCGUUCGUAAGGAACGUGGUGUGCAGAGACCUCCACCCUUGAGGACCAGAGAGGAAGAUCUGGGAGCUGCCAGAUUUCGGAGCAGACAUGAAUGGGCUGCGAAGGUAGAGGAAGAAGCAGGAAGAGAUUGGGAUCACGGGGGGAAGGGUGGGAGGGAAGGGAGGGUGACUGUGGGAGGGUGGAAACCAGGCCAAGGAGGAGGGCUGCCAUUGUGGGGAGGGAGUGGGGAGCAGAGCCUCGGUGCCUGGAGGAGCUAGAUUUGGGAAGGAAACAUGGAGUGCAGAAGCCUCAGUGGUCCAAGGGGGACCCCGGCUUGCCCCGGAAAAGCCACUACUGCCAGGAUUCCCAUGGUCUCAGAACCAUAGGCAAGGGAGAUAGCACCCAGAUGGGUUUUUAGAUAGUGCGGCCUCUUACCAUGGAGCCUCUCCCGUCUUCAGCCAGACCAGGAACGUCCUUACUUAGGCCAGGAGGCUGAGAAACGAGGAAGCCCUCUGUGGCUUAGCUGGCAGCACCUCUGAGGCCAGGGAGCUGGGCCCGGGGAGACAGAUGAGAGUGAUGGCCGUGGCAGCCUGAUGUGGAGAGGGGUGUGGGGUGCACAGGGUUAUUCUAGGACGGCUGGGUGUCUGCACCUUGCGAGGGACCAAAGCUGCCCCUCCAUCUCCAGGGAUGAAGAUUCUAUGUUGGCCAAACUUCAGUCAGACUCCUGAACCUUCUCCUAGGCCCAUCUGCGGACCUCUUUGUAAGAUCCAGUUUCAGCAAGAACCUUGCUAAGUCAGUUUAACCAGAAGCCCACCCUCCAUAUCUGAUAUGGUUCCUCACCACUCCCUCCCCACAUCCUCCAGAGGACCUUUGGCCAUGAUAAUAAUUUUCCACGCGUGGGUAAUUGUCCAUCCACUGGUCCCCACACUGGUCCUUGGCUAUCAACUCCCACUUACCCAUGUUGUACUCGGAAUUGAGCCCUGUUAUAUACUGAGGUGUCUUUUGCCCUAUUGCAAUAGUCCCGAAUAAAAUUUGUUUUUAUCCCUUUAACUGGUGUCCAGCUCUGGUUUUUCUUUGACACUGGCUGGGUUCUCACCCUCUGCCCAAGAUCCUUCUCUGCUUCCCCCAAAACACUGGGGCUGCUGUGCUGUCUCCGUGGUCCCUUCAUCACUCAGAUGUGGGGGGGACACUUCCUAGCUGUUUCAUCUCUUAGAAGUAGACUGAAUUCCUCUCUAUUUCCUUAUUUAUUUCGUUCUUUUUUCUCACCACUUUCAGAUUCUUGUCAUCUUCCCCUGCCCUCUGGCCCUAUAAGACAAGCCCCUCCGAACACACCUGGCUGUUGUACUCUGUCCCCUCAUCGCCAAGCCUCAGGGUCCCCCCUGCUGAACGAGACAGCCAGGCCUGGUGGCUCUGGGACCUGGUGGGAAACUCUUCUCUCAGGCUUCCACUGCCGUGCUGCCGUCCUGGAUUUGUUUCUGCAUUUCUCACCAUUCCUUCUCUGUUUUCCUGUUCUUCUGCAAGGCCCAAGCCCUGGCAUCAUCUUCCCUGCCUGAGGAUUACCUAUAGCACUGACUGCCUCUCCCCCAAAUGCGUUCCUUAGGAUUCCAAGGAAUAGUGAGUGAAUGCUACCCCUCAGCAGCUGAAACUCUGCAUUUCCACCCUGCUUCCAGGGCUGAGACUGAGGACCUGUGGACCACAUUUUGAGUAGCAAAGGUCUAAAAAGCAAAAUGCCGUGCAGAAAUUUAAAUUCCCUACCUAAUGACGUAAUGAGCAUUAGGCUUUCCUUGCAGCAUAAGAGGAUCUAGAAGAGGGGUGACGGAUGAGCCGGGAAGGUAUGGGGAAGAGACGGUGAGAACAGCCACACAGCAUCCCAACCAUGAUGUGAAGACGUUUGUGCUGUGCGGUCGAGUGGCCGAGCCCCCGCUGCUUCUCCUCGCUCUGACUCAGGAGAAUGUGAUGAAUGCACAGUCAGCCACCCUGACAUGCAUGGACCACGGCAAGGGGGCAGGCAGAGGGUCAUAUGCCCUGUGUCUCAACAGCUAAAAGUUAUAAAUCAGAGUAACAAACUAUUUAAAAAGUAUAUGCUAUAGCCUUCUAACUUGAAAACUGUACCUUCGUAAAGACCUGGAAGACCAUGUUUGAAUGUACACGUUUUAGAAUCCUUGGAGCUCCACGUGAAUCGGUGGCACAGGGUGGCACCCAGGUACCGCCUUGGCCCUCCCAGCUCUGACUGGCACGGCUACGGGCUGCGAGUGCAGGCACGUGGACACCUUGACCCAUCCAUCUGAGCUACGUCAGCAAAAUACUAUCAUAUCUCUGCUUAAUUCCUACCUAUUGAAUUAUCGGUGCUUAGCAAAAAAGAAAAAAAGAAAAAAAAUUAACGGAGGGGGCAGUGUGGGUGAGGUUCCGUGCCACCCUUUCCAUAAGCACGUGCCUGGAGUGUGUGCAAGAGAGGAAGAUGCAAAUCUGCUGUGUUCUCUGUUAGUCUUGAAGGGUAGCAGAACCUGCCACCCUAAAACAUGCUAGUUUGUUCUAAGGAUUAUUUUGAGCUGAAGGCAAUUGGAAGAAGAAGAUACCAGAAAAGCUCCCUGCUCUCCUCCUAUCUGCCUAAAAGCAGGAUGAAAAUUUGCAAAGCUGUCCCCCGCCACCUCCCUACCAGAAAAGACAAAGGCUAAUUCCCCUAGACAACUUUAGACCCUUAUCCAGGGAGAAAGCUUGGACUCAGAUCUGCAAUAACAAGCCUCACUCGUGUUUACGAUGCUUUUCCAGGUAACCUCCCAAAACUCUUCUACCCCACACCUUUCUUUCCUUUGUCUUUAGCUCAAGAUGUUAUUUAAGCUGGAGUUCUAAGCCACCUUGGAGAGUUUCUCAUUUUUCCCUGGGUUUCUCCAAGGUAUACCUGAGGUAUACAUGUUAAUAAACUUCUGUGUGCUUUUCUCUUGUUAAUCUGCGUUUUGUUGCAGGGGUCUUAGCCAAGAGCUCAGAAGGGUAGAGGGAAAAUUCUUUUCCCUCUUCCACAGUUUCAAUUCUUUCUUGUUUGUCUUUCAUAGAAGAAGUGUUUAAAAGUACAUCCUCCCCCCCCAAAUGGCUGCUAAAUGCAAAAAAACUACCUUAUGUAGUGCUGGACAUAAGAAAGUGCAAUCUAUCCCCAUGCUGGAAGAAAAAAAUAUUGUGUUUUCAUGUUGUGGUUGGACUUCUGGAGAGAUGGUUUGUCGGACUUCAAUAUGGCAUUCAAGGGUAAUUUGGACUCUGCUCAAUAUUUACCUUAUACAUGGUUCUCUAUAAUCAGAACGGUGUUUUAGAAAUUAUAGCAGAAUAAGAUGACCCAGGAGAACAGGGGCUGUUGUUCCUAUAAGAGCAUGGAGGUCUCAAAUAGGACCGGGAGGCAUAGAUGUCAGAAAUCAGUCAGACUUGGU